UACGUAGGGGGCAAGCGUUGUCCGGAAUCAUUGGGCGUAAAGCGCGCGUAGGCGGCUCAGUAAGUCCGCUCUGAAAGCUUGGGGCUUAACCCCAAGAGGCGGGCGGAUACUGCUGGGCUCGAGUCCGGAAGAGGCGAGUGGAAUUCCUGGUGUAGCGGUGAAAUGCGCAGAUAUCAGGAGGAACACCGAUGGCGAAGGCAGCUCGCUGGGACGGUACUGACGCUGAGGCGCGAAAGCGUGGGGAGCAAACGGG
rnacentral:rRNA from 1 species